rnacentral:rRNA from 1 species
CAGUCGCCGCGGUAAUGCGUAGGUGGCAAGCGUUGUCCGGAAUUAUUGGGCGUAAAGGGAGCGUAGGCGGAUGUCUAAGUCAGAGGUGAAAGCCCAGGGCUCAACCUUGGAACUGCCUUUGAUACUGGACAUCUUGAGUGUGGGAGAGGUAAGCGGAACUCCGAGUGUAGAGGUGAAAUUCGUAGAUAUUCGGAAGAACACCAGUGGCGAAGGCGGCUUACUGGCCCAUUACUGACGCUGAGGCUCGAAAGCGUGGGGAGCAAACAGGAUUAGAUACCCCAGUAGUCCCUGUCUCUUAUAC